GAUGAACGCUGGCGGCGUGCCUAAUACAUGCAAGUCGAGCGAACAGAUGAGGAGCUUGCUCCACUGACGAUAGCGGCGGACGGGUGAGUAACACGUGGAUAACCUACCUAUAAGACUGGGAUAACUUCGGGAAACCGGAGCUAAUACCGGAUAAUAUAUUUAAACGUAUGGUUCAAUAGUGAAAGACGGUUUUGCUGUAACUUAUAGAUGGAUCCGCGCCGCAUUAGCUAGUUGGUAAGGUAACGGCUUACCAAGGCGACGAUGCGUAGCCGACCUGAGAGGGUGAUCGGCCACACUGGAACUGAGACACGGUCCAGACUCCUACGGGGGGCAGCAGAAGGGAAUCUUCCGCAAUGGGCGAAAGCCUGACGGAGCAACGCCGCGUGAUUGAUGAAGUUCUUCGGAUCGUAAAACUCUGUUAUUAGGGAAGAACAAAUGUGUAAGUAACUAUGCACGUCUUGACGGUACCUAAUCAGAAAGCCACGGCUAACUACGUG
rnacentral:rRNA from 1 species